UUGCAGAAUCUCCUUUGCAAAUGCAAUAGUCAUGGCAACGGUUUUCUUCAGCUUUUCCUGCAGAGCAGUAAUUCAGCUUUAGAUGCAAUUCCAUAUAUUUGAUUUGUAGUCAAAACUCUGGAACCCUUUUUUCUUUUACCAUUCCAAACACAGGGGAGGGUUGCUCAUCUUGCUUUUACAGCACUGGCAUCAAUGACUGCAAGAGCAAGAUCAGGUCAUAGCUGGAUGAAAUGCUCAUUUCUUAGACUUCUCUCACAGGAUACAAAUGUCCACCCUUUGCCAGAGUAUCCCUGCAUACCCUUUUGAGUGCUGCAUUCUGCUGCAGUGCUCAGGAAAAUCUGCACGUAGCAUGAAGGCAGCUGCCUGGGAGAGAUACAGCAGAGCUGCAGUCUGCAGUGAGUACAGCCUCAGAGAAUUAACAGGAGCUUCAUUUGGCUGGAAUUGCAGUGGUAGUCAGCCAGCAGGUCAGCAUACUAAGCAUCCUGACACUGGCCUGGAUUCACACCCCUGUUGUGCAUGCAGCUUCUGAAAACAUACCUGAUUAAGAUGUGGACCUGGAGUGGACACAGCAGGAAGAAAAAAGCUCAGGCCCCGCACUAAGGUGGAAUGUCGAUCUAAGCACAUCUUCCACAUGCAGUGGAUGGUUAAUUCCCAUGUGACUCGUACAGGUAGCCCUGCGUCAUGAUCACUGGCUGCUUGCAGACAAGUUGUCCCCAGGUCCCUGCGGAAAGGACUUUGGCACCACCUAUGACAGUGAUAUUUUCUUCUGCUUGGAUGCUCUAGAACAAAAAAUGUGAACAGAGCCAAGUCAGGCAGGGUUUCAGAUUUUCUCUGUGGCUCAACCAGUAGCUACUGCACCAAUAGCUGUGUGCAGCUGUUGCUAGAGAACUGCCUGCUUAUGGUGAUGAGAAGAGACUGUGGAACUGAAACUCAGUUCCCAUGCCUCUGCUACUGCCCUGAGAGUCCCACUUUCUUGCUAGAACACAAUGCAUGGGUUGCAGCUAUGUGGUUGUGAAACACCUGUUUGAUCAUGUAAAGGUAUAUAAGGGCAAAGAAGGAGAAGGUCUGCAGAAAGAAAACAUUGCUACCUUUUGAUACAAGUUUUAUAGUGUCCAAACACAUUUUCCAAGUAAAAGAGACAAUUUGAUUUUGCAUGCAGCAAAGCCAAAGGCAAAGCCAGCUCUUGAACCUUGCUAAGACUAUUUUUUUUAUUCCUAAUCUGUUUAUAUCAUCCAAAAAUAUUUUUCAUUUGAAAAAAAAAAAAUUACUUGACCAACCAUUUCUUAAUGAGCAAAUUAUUAUUUAUAGUUAAUGUAAUUCACAUUAAGGAAAAGUGUGUAGUUGUGGAAAACUAAAAAAUAAAAAAUGGCAUUCUUGA